GUCUUCGUGGUGUAGUGCUCAGCACGCUCGACUCGUAACCGAGAGAUCCGUGGUUCGAUUCCCUGUGAAGGUG
rnacentral:tRNA from 1 species